GUCCAUAGCUCAGUCGGUAGAGCACCGGGCUAGCAAUCCGGAGGUCUCGGGUUCGAAUCCCGAUGGAACCC